ensembl:snoRNA SNORA47 small nucleolar RNA, H/ACA box 47
UGGAGGUCUGAGAAGGUAAGACAGUUUAACUUGAUGCUGUAUCUUACUGGUUAUGGCCUCCAACAUUAAAUCGGUGCAAUGGCAACUCAUGUUUCCCUCCUGACAUGAGGGAAAGCGAAACUGCAUUUG